rnacentral:rRNA from 1 species
UCUUCCCUCUUUCUUCGUGCCUAAUACAUGCAAGUCGAGCGAACAGACGAGGAGCUUGCUCCUCUGACGUUAGCGGCGGACGGGUGAGUAACACGUGGAUAACCUACCUAUAAGACUGGGAUAACUUCGAGAAACCGGAGCUAAUACCGGAUAAUAUAUUGAACCGCAUGGUUCAAUAGUGAAAGACGGUUUUGCUGUCACUUAUAGAUGGAUCCGCGCCGCAUUAGCUAGUUGGUAAGGUAACGGCUUACCAAGGCAACGAUGCGUAGCCGACCUGAGAGGGUGAUCGGCCACACUGGAACUGAGACACGGUCCAGACUCCUACGGGAGGCAGCAGUAGGGAAUCUUCCGCAAUGGGCGAAAGCCUGACGGAGCAACGCCGCGUGAGUGAUGAAGGUCUUCGGAUCGUAAAACUCUGUUAUUAGGGAAGAACAAAUGUGUAAGUAACUAUGCACGUCUUGACGGUACCUAAUCAGAAAGCCACGGCUAACUACGUG